UGUCUAAUUAAAACAAAGCAUUGCGAGGGCCGUUGAUCCGUGCUGACGCAAUGUGAUUUAUGCCCAGUGCUCUGAAUGUCAAAGUGAAGAAAUUAAAAGAAAGCGCGGGUAAACGGCGGAAGUAACUAUGACUCUCUUCCAAAUGCUCUUCUAAAAUGAUU
rnacentral:rRNA from 1 species